rnacentral:rRNA from 1 species
UACGUAGGGUGCGAGCGUUAAUCGGAAUUACUGGGCGUAAAGCGUGCGCAGGCGGUCCGCAAAGUCUGAUGUGAAAGCCCCGGGCUCAACCUGGGAACUGCAUUGGAAACUAACGGGCUCGAGUGUGGCAGAGGGGAGUGGAAUUCCACGUGUAGCAGUGAAAUGCGUAGAGAUGUGGAGGAACACCGAUGGCGAAGGCAGCCCCCUGGGCUAACACUGACGCUCAGGCACGAAAGCGUGGGGAGCAAACAGG